rnacentral:rRNA from 1 species
AGCGAACGCUGGCGGCAGGCUUAACACAUGCAAGUCGAGCGGGCGUAGCAAUACGUCAGCGGCAGACGGGUGAGUAACGCGUGGGAACAUACCUUUUGGUUCGGAACAACACAGGGAAACUUGUGCUAAUACCGGAUAAGCCCUUACGGGGAAAGAUUUAUCGCCGAAAGAUUGGCCCGCGUCUGAUUAGCUAGUUGGUGAGGUAACGGCUCACCAAGGCGACGAUCAGUAGCUGGCUGAGAGGAUGAUCAGCCACAUUGGGACUGAGACACGGCCCAAACUCCUACGGGAGGCAGCAGUGGGGAAUAUUGGACAAUGGGCGCAAGCCUGAUCCAGCCAUGCCGCGUGAGUGAUGAAGGCCCUAGGGUUGUAAAGCUCUUUUGUGCGGGAAGAUAAUGACGGUACCGCAAGAAUAAGCCCCGGCUAACUUCGU